rnacentral:rRNA from 1 species
UACGAAGGGGGGCUAGCGUUGUUCGGAAUUACUGGGCGUAAAGCGCGCGCCAGGCGGCUAUCCAAGUCAGUGGUGAAAGCCCGGAGCUCAACUCCGGAACUGCCCAUUGAAACUGUUUUAGCUUGAGGACGAGAGAGGUGAGUGGAAUUCCCCAGUGUAGAGGUGAAAUUCGUAGAUAUUGGGAAGAACACCGGUGGCGAAGGCGGCUCACUGGCUCGUAUCUGACGCUCAGGCGCGACAGCGUGGGGGAUCAAACAGG